CCACAAUAGGAAUGCCAUGUCCUUUCAUUAGAGGAUGGAGUAGGAGCUGCAGUGUUUGUCAGACUGGGAAGUGGCGCGUCAGACGGGUUGAUGGGGAAUAGGGAAGUUCGGAUUUAUCUUGAACUCGACACUUUUAGAAAGAGGUAAGAACAGUCUUCUCGGAGAGACGUGUACCGUCAGGAAGAGACUUUAAUGACAACGUUUACAAAAGAAGUAUCUGUAAAUCCAGCGAGGGAUUCAACACAGCCGUGUAACUAAAGAGGAGGAAACACGAGGGUUCAGAGCAUCGUUUUGUGGAUUUGAUCUGAAACAAGAUGGCCAAGCGUCCCUGCUUUGUAGAUCACCUCCUCCAAGCGGCUGUGAUUCCAGCCAAGGGUGGCUUCACCCGGCCAAGCCAGCUGCCCCCAAGCCACCCCGGCGCUCGGGGCCAGCCAGAAAUAAAUACUUUUAAAAUAAUU